GAACUCAAAGUCAAUCUCAUCAUGUGUUGGCCCUUGAGAAGACAAAUAGUAGGCAGUGACAGUGCCAGCAGAAUUUCCAGCAACAAGCUUGAGCUGCAUAUCAAUUCUACCAAACAAAUACUCAUUCCUGGAUUGAAACCCAGACCCUGAAACCCUAUCUAGCGACAGAGAAAGAAGCUUCCCUCCACUAAAGAUCUUUGCACGCUCACCACCCCAUGUUAACUCAAAAUCUUCAAAGAAGUUUCCAGCUGAGGCACCCAUUACCAUGCAACUCAGCACCACAGCCACCCCAGCCACAAAAAAGCAAUUACAACAAACACCCAUUUUUUUUUUCUUUCUUCUUCUUCUUCUCGUUAUGUUCUUUGUUUGUUUCUUGAAUUUCUCUCUUUUUCUUGAUGACGAUGGAAAGAAAAGGAGGGUUGAAGAACUGUGUACAAAAAAGGAAGAAGAGAUGUUUGUUUUUGAUGGCUUGGGUGUUUUCUUUCUUAAAUUAAGGCCAUUGAUUACCAGUUGAUGAUGCAGUUUGAGAGAAGACUCCAGGCCUGAAAGUGGCUGAAAAGUGAUUAGAUUAUUACUGUAAAGAUUGAGUUUGCUUUGUUAAUUAGUGUGAAAUAUGAGACAUUAUGAAUGGAAACACAAAGAAGACUACAAAUCUGAUAUCAAAAAAAAAAAAAAGGA
rnacentral:misc_RNA from 1 species